rnacentral:rRNA from 1 species
GGAGGUUGUGCCCUUGAGGCGUGGCUUCCGGAGCUAACGCGUUAAAUCGACCGCCUGGGGAGUACGGCCGCAAGGUUAAAACUCAAAUGAAUUGACGGGGGCCCGCACAAGCGGUGGAGCAUGUGGUUUAAUUCGAUGCAACGCGAAGAACCUUACCUACUCUUGACAUCCAGAGAAUUCGCUAGAGAUAGCUUAGUGCCUUCGGGAACUCUGAGACAGGUGCUGCAUGGCUGUCGUCAGCUCGUGUUGUGAAAUGUUGGGUUAAGUCCCGCAACGAGCGCAACCCUUAUCCUUUGUUGCCAGCGAUUCGGUCGGGAACUCAAAGGAGACUGCCGGUGAUAAACCGGAGGAAGGUGGGGAUGACGUC